rnacentral:rRNA from 1 species
UGUAAGCGUAUACCAAAGUUGUUGCAGUUAAAACGCUCGUAGUCGGAAUUUGGCAGUUCCGGAUGUGUGCACGUCGUGUGCGCACUUCGCGGGGAUUGCUUUUGUGGUCUUGCGUAGGAUGAGGCACUUUUAUUAGUGAACGUCCUCACGCAACCACUUUUUACUGUGAGAAAAUCAGAGUGCUCAAAGCAGGCAUUUGCCGUGAAUGUAUUAGCAUGGAAUAAUAGAAUAGGACUUGGUUCUAUUUUGUUGGUUUGUUGGGACUGAGUAAUGAUUAAGAGGGACUGUUGGGGGCAUUUGUAUUUCGGUGCUAGAGGUGAAAUUCUUAGAUUACCGAAAGACAAACUGCUGCGAAAGCGUCUGCCAAGGAUGUUUUCAUUGA